AUGGCGGCGCGCUCCAUCACCUUCGCCGCCGGUGAGCUCCUUCUCCGUCAGGAUGCGCUACGUUUGGUUCUUCUCGAUGAUCGCGGCAGCACAGUGGACGCCCGACCCCUGCGCAUCGAUGAGAUGAUUGCCAUCGGGUACAUCAUUCCCUUCCCUUGUCAUUUUGCUAGGGUUUGGGAUCGUCUUCCUCCCCCUGAUCCUACAGUUCCGCCACCGGAGCGUCGUGGCGCCGGCGCGGCCGCGCGCGGCGAGCCGUCGUGUUCGCAUGAGGGGGCCGGGGUGUUGGGGGCGGUUCAGGGUAAUCGACUCGGUACCCCCCUCCUGGCCGGUCCGGGGAUCCUGGGGCGUCGACCGGCAGAAAACCGCUACAUUCCUCCGGAUCUGGGACACGUGGAGACAGAUGAAUCCGACCGCCAUGAUCGGGCCGCGACUAGGGUUUCACCCCCUCCCCCUGGUAUAAGUCGACGCGCCGUUACCUCGCGUCCCCCCAUUUUAGAUCUGGAAGAAUGCCUCAUCCAUUUUUGGGAGAAACCUGAGAGAGAGAAACCUAGGGUUCAUCCAUGUUUCGGCUGGUGGGAGGGGAAAAUUCGUGGUGAUCUCAGAUCUUUCGCUCAAGUUGUCUCUCCCUCCCCACCUAGAUCUACUACAGCCCCCCUCCGCGAAUCACCUAAGAUGAGAGAAACAGGGUUCGGCGCGGGUCGUCAUGGCCGCGGCGCGGGCUGUUUUCAACCGGGGUGA
rnacentral:rRNA from 1 species